rnacentral:rRNA from 1 species
CCUACGGGAGGCUGCAGUGGGGAAUAUUGCGCAAUGGGCGAAAGCCUGACGCAGCGACGCCGCGUGAGGGAUGAAGGUCUUCGGAUCGUAAACCUCUGUCAGCAGGGAAGAACGGUCACUGUGCUAAUCAGCAGUGAAUUGACGGUACCUGCAAAGGAAGCACCGGCUAACUCCGUGCCCGCAGCCGCGGUAAUACGGAGGGUGCGAGCGUUAAUCGGAAUUACUGGGCGUAAAGCGCUCGUAGGCGGUAUGUCAAGUCAAGGGUGAAAUCCCCGCGCUCAACGUGGGAACUGCCUUUGAAACUGGCAAACUGGAGUGUGUGAGAGGAUGGUGGAAUUCCAGGUGUAGGAGUGAAAUCCGUAGAUAUCUGGAGGAACAUCGGUGGCGAAGGCGACUAUCUGGCACGUAACUGACGCUGAGGAGCGAAAGCGUGGGUAGCAAACAGGAUUAGAUACCCCAGUAGUC